rnacentral:rRNA from 1 species
UACAGAGGGUGCAAGCGUUAAUCGGAUUUAUUGGGCGUAAAGAGCGUGUAGGCGGCCAGGUAGGUCUGCUGUGAAAACUCGAGGCUCAACCUCGAGACGUCGGCGGAAACCAUCUGGCUAGAGUCCGGAAGAGGAGAGUGGAAUUCCUGGUGUAGCGGUGAAAUGCGCAGAUAUCAGGAAGAACACCCGUGGCGAAGGCGGCUCUCUGGGACGGUACUGACGCUGAGACGCGAAAGCGUGGGGAGCGAACAGGG